CUGGCCAUAUCAGGUUGAAACAUCUGUUCCUGUAUGAUCACCGAAGUUAAGCAACGUCGAGUCUGCUCAGUACCUAUCUGGGUGAUCGCCUGGGAAUAACAGGUGAUGUAAGC